rnacentral:rRNA from 1 species
UACGGGGGGGAGCAAGCGUUGUUCGGAUUUACUGGGCGUAAAGGGCGCGUAGGCGGCGUGACAAGUCACUUGUGAAAUCUCCGGGCUUAACUCGGAACGGUCAAGUGAUACUGUCGUGCUAGAGUACAGAAGGGGCAACUGGAAUUCUCGGUGUAGCGGUGAAAUGCGUAGAUAUCAAGAGGAACACCUGCGGCGAAGGCGGGUUGCUGGGCCGACACUGACGCUGAGGCGCGAAAGCCAGGGGAGCGAACGGG